rnacentral:rRNA from 11 species
GAGAUUGGCCGAAAACGUGCAAGUACUUAAUUCCACAUGAUCUUGGAAACUAAGCAGCGUCAGCACUUAGUUAGUACUUGAAUGGGAAAUCAUCAAUGAAUAACAAGUGCUGUGUGCU